UUACACAUGCAAGACUCCACACACCAGUGCGCACAACCACCAACUACCACAUAGAAAAGGAACCGGCAUCAGGCUCACCACACCAGCCCACAACACCAAGCAUCGCCACACCUCCACAGGACACAGCAGUGAUAAACAUUAAACCAUGGUCCAACCCCGAUUUAGUCUAUGGCCCACCACUAUCGGUAAAUUUCGUGCCAGCCACCGCGGUUACACGAGAGAUCUAAAAUAACUGAGCCCGGCGUAAAGCGUGACCAAAAACAUAGCCCUCACCCUGAAGCAUGAGGCACAACAAACGUCGUAAAACACCAAUGCCAGUACAAACCACACCUGCCUCACCGGCCCCGGCCCUUUCCACUCACGAAAGCUAGGACACAAACUAGGAUUAGAUACCCUACUAUGCCUAACAAUAAACUGAUUAUCGCACACAAUUAAUCCGCCAGAGAACUACAGGCGAAAGCCAGAAACUCCAAGGACUUGACGGUGUCUCAUACACCCUAGAGGAGCCUGUCCUAUAAUCGAUACCCCACGCUUUACCCCACCCACUCUUGCACCCCAGCCUAUAUACCGCCGUCGGCAGUUCACCCCAUGAGGGCAGUGAACAAAAUACUCCCACCACUAGCACGUCAGGUCAAGGUGUAGUAUAUGAGUGGGCAGAGAUGGGCUACAUUCUCAACACGAGCAAACCACCAGCAACAUGAAACACAGCCCAAAGGAGGAUUUAGCAGUAAGGCGUGCAAGAAUGCCCCCCUGAAAACAGUCCUGAGACACGCACACACCGCCCGUCACCCUCAUC
rnacentral:rRNA from 1 species